UACGGGGGGGGCAAGCGUUGUUCGGAAUUACUGGGCGUAAAGGGCUCGUAGGUGGCCAACUAAGUCAGACGUGAAAUCCCUCGGCUUAACCGGGGAACUGCGUCUGAUACUGGAUGGCUUGAGUUUGGGAGAGGGACGCGGAAUUCCAGGUGUAGCGGUGAAAUGCGCAGAUAUCAGGAAGAACACCCGUGGCGAAGGCGGCUCUCUGGGACGGUACUGACGCUGAGACGCGAAAGCGUGGGGAGCAAACAGG
rnacentral:rRNA from 1 species